rnacentral:rRNA from 1 species
UACGGAGGGUGCGAGCGUUGUCCGGAAUCACUGGGCGUAAAGGGCGCGUAGGCGGCAUGCCAAGCGUGGGGUGAAAGCCCGGGGCUCAACCCCGGGUCGGCCGUGCGGACUGGCGUGCUCGAGCACUGUAGGGGCGGGUGGAAUUCCGGGUGUAGCGGUGGAAUGCGUAGAGAUCCGGAAGAACACCGGUGGCGAAGGCGGCCCGCUGGGCAGGAAGGCUCGCAAGAGCCGGCUGACGCUGAGGCGCGACAGCGUGGGGAGCAAACAGG